rnacentral:rRNA from 1 species
GAUGAACGCUGGCGGCGUGCCUAAUACAUGCAAGUCGAACGCUGGAAAUCUAGCUUGCUAGAUUGAAGGAGUGGCGAACGGGUGAGUAAUACAUAAGCAACCUACCCACGAAGACUGGGAUAAUCUCUGGAAACGGGGACUAAUACCGGAUAGGUAAUCGGAAGGCAUCUUCUGAUUAUUAAAGGUUAAAAACACUGGUGGAUGGGCUUAUGGCGCAUUAGUUAAUUGGUGAGGUAACGGCCCACCAAGACGAUGAUGCGUAGCCGGCCUGAGAGGGUGAACGGCCACAUUGGGACUGAGACACGGCCCAGACUCCUACGGGAGGCAGCAGUUGGGAAUUUUCGGCAAUGGGGGAAACCCUGACCGAGCAACGCCGCGUGAGUGAUGACGGCCUUCGGGUUGUAAAGCUCUGUUGUAAGGGAAGAACGGUAGAUAGAGAAUAUCUAAAUGACGGUACCUUACCAGAAAGCCACGGCUAACUACGUG